rnacentral:rRNA from 1 species
CAGCACCUCAAGUGGUCAGGAUGAUUAUUGGGCCUAAAGCAUCCGUAGUCGGCUCUGUAAGUUUUCGGUUAAAUCUGUACGCUCAACGUACAGGCUGCCGGGAAUACUGCAGAGCUAGGGAGUGGGAGAGGUAGACGGUACUCGGUAGGAAGGGGUAAAAUCCUUUGAUCUAUUGAUGACCACCUGUGGCGAAGGCGGUCUACCAGAACACGUCCGACGGUGAGGGAUGAAAGCUGGGGGAGCAAACCGGAUUAGAUACCCGAGUAGUCC